rnacentral:misc_RNA from 1 species
AAAAAAGAGGAGAUUUCAAAAUGAUUUCAGCUAAGGGAGAGUAGCUUCCCUUCUCCCAUUUCCUCCACUCACCAAUUAGACUCGGCAGAGCACCGAUGACUACUGACGUUGCCUGGCGACCUCGGCCAACGACUUCAGGCAGACCAUUGUUGAGAAGUAGCGGCAAAACGGCAACGAGAAGACGCAGCGAUAGCACAAACUUCAGGCGACAUAUCUUAGGUUAGGUGUUGG